rnacentral:lncRNA from 1 species
GGCUGCUGCGGCCGCCCGAGCGCGGGGAGGGGCCCGAGAGUCCCGGGGAGCCUGGGGAGGGGACGUGGGGCAGCUGCGCACACCUGGGGCGCGAGGCAGUGGUCUUGGGGGAGCCCCCGGCGCGGCGCCCGGAGGUCUUGGGUAGGGCCCGGCUGGUGGGGCCGUGGGGGCCUGAAGGAGAGGGGCGUCCAGGAGUGCAGGAAGCAAACUGGUUGCCUGGAGUGCAGGAGGGACAGGUGGUUCGCGCGGUGCAGGAGACGUUCCUGGACCGGAAGGGGUCCCAGCAGGGAGCGGUGCCCCCAGGGCGCCCCGGGACCCGUAGGCGCAGACGGAGGAGGAGGUGGUAGCCAGGCUUCCCCCGACCUUACCUCGGGCAGCGCGGGAUAUAGGGGCGCGGGGGCGUGGGCAGCUGCGAACUAAACGCUGCUAUAAGCUGCCGCCGGAGGACAGGCAGUGGCCUGCGGGAUCCUCUUCUGCUACCUCGGCCUGGGCUUCACAGCAGCUGAAAGCAGCUGAAAGCGGAAGCCCCCGGCUCACCCCGCCUCAGACCAGGCUGACUUGAAGGCGUGAGGUUCCCAGGUCCACUUCCCUCGGGGACACGGCCCAAGAGGAACCGGCCUUGGUGCAGACGCUUGGCCCUGGGCACAGAGGGCUAAGCAGACACUGCUGCUGCGUGGGCAAGUGCAGGAGUGGGCAUGUGCAGGAGUCGCCAGUCUGAAGUCAGGGAGGGUGAGCUGGCCCACGCUCCAGGCGCACAGCCGGCACUGUCCCAGGGAGGUCAAGACCAGGAGGACAGUGACGUGGCUAAGCUGCUGGAGGGGCGGUGGUGAUGCUGUGCUUCCCUGGCUGAUCCGGGACUCUGGGCUCCAUGAGGAAAAGAACUGCUUACCAGCACCUGGCAGCGGGGCAAGGAGGGGCGGAGGUAGGGGACAGCCAGGAAUCCGGGCCCCAUCACCUGCGCUCUGUAGCCGCAGCAGCCAGGGUAUGGGAUACAGCCAGGGAUACAGGGUGCUCCCUGGCCCCGGGGGCAGAUCUGGGAUGCAUUUGCCGGGGGUGUGUGGUGCCGGUGGAGGUGAAUUAGAGGUCUUGACAUCGCCCCG